rnacentral:rRNA from 1 species
UGUGCUAAGGUAGAAUAAUCAUUAGUUUCUUAAUUAGAAGCUGGAAUGUAUAGUUGAACGAAAUAAUUUCUGUCUCAUUUUGAGGUUAUUUUGAAUUUUAUUUUUAAGUGAAAAAGCUUAAAUACUUUUAAAAGACGAGACGACCCUAUAGAGUUUUAUAUUAAAAGAUUUUUAGAAAUUUUUUUUAAUAUUUUUUGGGGUGACUUAAAGACUAAACAAAUUCUUNAAAAUUUAAGUUGAUGAUUGUUAAUUAUAAAUUUUAAUAUUUUUAAAAAUAAAAAAAUUACUUUAGGGAUAACAGCGUAAUUGUUUUUUAAAGUUCUCAUUGUAAGAGAAGUUUGCGACCUCGAUGUUGGAUUAAAAUUAAUUGUUGGCGCAAUAGCUAAUAAAUUGGGUCUGUUCGACUUUUAAAAUUUUACAUGAUCUGAGUU